rnacentral:tRNA from 1 species
UAGAAGGUGGUGUAUGGAGCACAGAGGGUUUUGAUCCCUUUAGGAUAGGUUCAAGUCCUGUUUUUCUAA